CAAGGUCAGGGCCACCUCGCGGUUCCGGAAGGAUCCCCCGGAGCCCCCAGAGCGAGGUGGACCGACACUGCCCUUCCUUCCUCCUCUGCAUCCUCAGCCUCACGUCCACGGACCUCACAUCGCCCGCUCCGUCGCUGGACCUCACAUUGUCCGCUCCGUGCCCGGACAUGGCGUCCACCAUCACCCUCCUCCCGGAGAGCAUCUCAUCCGCUCUGUGCCCGGACAAGGCGUCCACCAUCACCCUCCUCCCGGAGAGCAUUUUGUCACUGCAGGAAUUAGCUUCCAGCCAGAAGCCACGGUUCCCGGGCAGCGUGAGGCGCAGGGAGUUCCUGCCGCCGUCCAUCCGCGAGAGCCUGAGCUCCCUCAGUACCAUCACCUCGGAGGGCUCUGCAUCACUGAAGGAUGAAGGCGAUCAGGUGCAGAUAAUACGGCAGCCUGAGAAAGAAGACGUUGACCACACCGAAGGCUCGGUUUCAGGAGCCCAGGGGCCCGCGCUGGCCCAGCCACCCGAGCGGGGGCUCUUCGCCGCCGUCCCGCCUGUGGAGGACCCCCUAGAAUCCCUCCCGCUCCAGGGCGCGCUGCAGGUCGGAGGCCAGGACGUGUGGUCCAUGAGGGCCCAGCGUGUGCGCCCAGCUCCCACGGACUCCUGGAUGCUGGAGUCCACGGUCCUCACCAUCCCCGGGC
rnacentral:lncRNA from 1 species